GGCUUGAUGGUUUAGUAGUAUGAUUCCUUGUUAGGGCACUUAAUAGGAUGCUGUUUCGAGGAGGUCCUGGGUUCAAUUCCCAGUCAAGCCC